UAACUGCAGGCUGGCUGGCCCUCCAGGCUGGGCUGGGGGAGUAUUUCCUCCAAAAGCUCCCCCUCAAGCACAAUUAGGAGC
rnacentral:pre_miRNA from 1 species